rnacentral:lncRNA from 1 species
GUUGGGUUGAAAAUUGACAUGAAUGAAGUUGAAAACAAUGUUGAUUCAACGUCAGCUUCCAACGUUUCAAACGGAUUGAAUGUUGGUAUAAAUUUGGUCGAUGUAUGUUGAAAACAAGUCAAUUGCUGGUUGAACUGUGGCCAAUGCAAGUGGAAAACAAGUCGAAUGUUGGUUGAACUGUGGUCAGUGAAUGCUAAUAUGAUGUUGAAUGCUAGUUGAACUGUGGUUAAUCUAUGUUGACAAUAGGUGGGAUUUGGGCCCAGGUAGACUGUUAAUGUGAUAAAUGUUGAGAAUAGGAUAUUGAACAUAAGUUAAAUUGAGGUAACCGUUUUUUUUUUUUUUUUUUACAGCUGAAAUAAUUACCCCUUAUCAAUCAUUGUCAUGUGUUGGUGGUUUAUGUACAUACGUAUGUUGCAUAGUCAAUUAUUUGUGUCAUUGAAAUUUGGGCCUGUUUCUAUUUUUAUAUUUUUAUACAUGUA